rnacentral:rRNA from 1 species
GGACCCGCACAAGCGGUGGAUGAUGUGGAUCAAUUCGAUGCAACGCGAAGAACCUUACCUACCCUUGACAUGCCAGGAAGCCCGAUGAGAGUUGGGUGUGCCCGAAAGGGAGCCUGGACACAGGUGCUGCAUGGCUGUCGUCAGCUCGUGUCGUGAGAUGUUGGGUUAAGUCCCGCAACGAGCGCAACCCUUGUCACUAGUUGCUACGCAAGGGCACUCUAGUGAGACUGCCGGUGACAAACCGGAGGAAGGUGGGGAUGACGUCAAGUCCUCAUGGCCCUUAUGGGUAGGGCUUCACACGUCAUACAAUGGCGCAUACAAAGGGCUGCCAACCCGCGAGGGGGAGCCAAUCCCAGAAAGUGCGUCGUAGUCCGGAUUGCAGUCUGCAACUCGACUGCAUGAAGUCGGAAUCGCUAGUAAUCGCGGAUCAGCAAUGUCGCGGUGAAUACGUUCCCGGGUCUU